GUUUGGGAGGGCAAAAAAAACUUUGAAUUAAUAUCUAUCAAUGACCUUUCAAAUGCACUAGGCAAUGAGUGAUCACACACACUUAUUGUGAUCCAUGCCUUUACCAGUUGUGAUACAGUUCUAUCUUUGCUUGAAAGAAAAAAGACUGCGUGUGAGACAUUGAUGGCAUUUGAAAAUGUGACUUUAACAUAAAGAAUGAUGAUUG
rnacentral:lncRNA from 1 species